rnacentral:tRNA from 1 species
GAGAGUAUAACUCAGGGGCAGAGUGCGUGCUUAGCAUGUACAAGGUCCUAGGUUCAAUCCCCAGUACUUCCA